rnacentral:lncRNA from 1 species
CUUUCUCCUCCGCUUGACCCCUUCCCUCAUUGCACACCGUGGGGAGAAGGGGGUGUGUCGCCGCUUUCUAUUUAUGGUCUCCCUGGAGAGGGGGUGCAGUGCUAGGACUUUUUUGGCAUCUGCUGGGCCCUGAGUCACGAGGUGUCAUGUCUGUGUCUGCUAUCCGUGCCUCCUCCCACUCCCCUCUCCCAUCCUCUCCUGCCCUGCACCUCCCUGUCCGCCUUUGUCUCCUUCCUGCCUCCCUUCCUGUCCUUUUCGCUCUCUUCUUUGGGCGCUUUGUGUAGCUGCCGUCUCUUUGUCUCCGCCUGUCUGCUCUCUGCUCCCUCUGCUCCCUCUCCUCCCUCUUCCAGCUCCGUGAAGCUGUCGACCUCAAGGGCAUCAAUAUUUCAGGGUAAUGAAGCUGGAAGCCAGGUGUGGUGCAGCCAGCUCCGAGGUCCCUAAGCCUGAAAAGGAGGCCGAGCCAGAUGCGGAACCACACUCCGACACCUGGCCACAGGAGGCUGCGGCCAAGUCCAGGUCCGGAUGGGGGCUUGAGGCUGAGACUGAGACCCUGGGGGUUGAAUCAGGGCCUGAGGCCAAGGCCAAGUCCUUGGGGGCCAACCCCAGGUCCGGAUCGGGGCCUGAGGCUAAGGCUGAGCCGUGGGACUUCGUGGUGGCCACAGAACGAGAGUUUGAGGAGAUGCUGGCCAUCUCCUCGACUACCUUCUCAGCCGCUACCACAGCCGGCUCCGGGAUCCCGACCGCACCGUGGUGCCGGCCAAGCUAACGGAGGAGUGAUCGCUCUGGAGUCGGUGCACGUGAUCGACCCCAGGGAGGCCAAGCUGGUGGAGGGGCUGCGCGUGGCGCCCUGGGAUUGCGGCAAGGGCGUCGCGGGGCUUCUGCUGGCCAAGCGACAGCAUCCGGGGUUAAGGUGGCACAGCUCACCUGGGACGACCAGCUGGGCCCCCGGGAGCUGAAGAAAUACCGCCUAAUCACCAAGCAGGUGAGAAAGGCUCUGGAGCUCAGCUAGCCAGGCGUCCUCCCCACUAGCCCAGUCACCGGCUUGCUUUCUCCGCUGGCUUUGCCGAGUGGGGGCGCCCGUGAGCUCUGCCCCGGGACUCCCAGUCCUUACCCAGGCCUUUUUGCCGAGCGGCAGUCAAAAAGCUCCCGACUCCCAGCGGUCAAACCCUCAGUCCUUACUCCAGAUGGCUGGGGGGAGCCCAGGCGUCCGGAGUUCCGUGACCCUGCCUCCCCUCUAUUGAUCCUGCCUCCCUUCAGGGACCCAAAGAUCCUAAUCUGAGCCUUUGUCCUUUCCCUCCGUCUCCCCUAUCCUACCGACUGAUCUGUUAUCCUCCCUUCCCCUCCCCUUGGAGACCCAGGGCCCCACACUGACUCCGCCCCUCCUUGGGGAUCCAGGCACAGAUUCCGAGGCCUGGCCCCUGGCCGGGGGCAGGCUUUCACCUACCCCACUCCACCUGGCCCGGCAUGGUUGGUCCUUCCGAGGGGCCCUACUGGGAUCCCGU